rnacentral:misc_RNA from 1 species
UCCGGUUUGUCACCGGCAGUCUCCUUAAAGUUCCCACCAUGACGUGCUGGCAAAUAAGGACAAGGGUUGCGCUCGUUACGGGACUUAACCCAACAUCUCACGACACGAGCUGACGACAGCCAUGCAGCACCUGUCACCCAGUUCCCGAAGGCACUCCCCCAUCUCUGGGGGAUUCUGGGGAUGUCAAGACCUGGUAAGGUUCUUCGCGUUGCGUCGAAUUAAACCACAUGCUCCACCGCUUGUGCGGGCCCCCGUCAAUUCAUUUGAGUUUUAAUCUUGCGACCGUACUCCCCAGGCGGUCAACUUACCGCGUUUGCUGCGCCACUAAGGAGACAAGCUCCCCAACGGCUAGUUGACAUCGUUUACCGCGUGGACUAC